rnacentral:rRNA from 1 species
UACGAACGCUGGCGGCGUGCUUAACACAUGCAUGUCGAACGAGUUGCGAACGGGUGAGUAAUACGUGGGUAACCUGCCCUCUUUCUGGGCUAAGCCUUGGAAACGGGGUCUAAUACCGGAUAAAGGGGGAUGGGCUCGCGGCCUAUCAGCUUGUUGGUGGGGUGAUGGCCUACCAAGGCGGUGACGGGUAGCCGGCCUGAGAGGGUGAACGCGGACAUUGGGGCUGUGAUAAGGCCCAGAAUCGUACGGAGGGUAGGAUUGGAGAAGAUAGCGCAAUGGGGGACAGGCUGAAGUGGGGACGCUGCGUGGGGGAUGGUGGAUUACGGGUUGUAGACCGGUGUCACUAUCGAGGGUGUAGGUGGGGAAGAGGAGGCGGCUAACUACGUGCAAGCAGCCGCGGUAAUAC